rfam:Oryza glumipatula chromosome 10, whole genome shotgun sequence.
UUCUAAAAUAGUUUUGCAUCGUUAAUGUCUAACGUUUGAUCGUCCGUCUUAUUUGAAUUUAUUUUUAUGAUUAGUAUUUUUCUUGUUAUUAGAUGAUAAAAUAUGAAUAGUAAUUUAUGUUUGACUAAUUUUUUUUAUUUUUUUCAUAAUUUUUUUAAAUAAGACGAACGGUAAAACGUUGGAUAUGGAUAUUUGUGGCUGCACUUAUU